rnacentral:precursor_RNA from 1 species
GGCAUAACCUGAAUAACACUUCCGGAACCGGAAGUGUUAUUCAGGUUAUGUA